UCCUUCUUGGUUUUAUAGCUUCUGCAAACAAGCUUCUCUUACUCUAUGUCUCCACCAAAUGAGGUACUUCUGCAUCUACUUCUGCUCACAGAACUGCCUAGGUGGUCCACCAAGAAGGAAAAUUGUUUACUCUGGUAUCUUCCUAAGAAACUGUACACUUAAAUUGUUUUGUCUUCAAGGAGAUUCAUAGAAAGGACUCUAACAAGUUUCUGAUAACUUUAAGAUUAUACCAUUAAACUAGGUAAAGGAAGAUUUUCAUGAUUCACUGACUGAGGACAAUCAAAUUCUUCACCACGUAGAACCUAGACAUUGGGUCUUUGGAAAGGACAUCAGAGAAAGACUGCCAUUAAGCUCCAUUGGAAGAGACCAUAUCAAGUUCUUUUCUGCAGCAAACCAUCAGGCUCUCAAGUCUUGGAUCUAUGUCUCUCAACUCAAAAGAGCUCCUCCAGACUCCUGGAACUGUAUACCUAUUGGAGACUCUAAGGUAAAGCUCACCAGGGAAGAUUUCCCCCAGGAGCAGUUGGCAUCCUAGACUUCAACAGCUUUCGUAAGAUUGUGGAUCAAGACUUCUCUGCCAUCAUGAAAGUCUUAUCUUUUCCCUUUCUUCCCAAUUUCCUGCUGUCCCAGUCCCUUUCUUUUACUUAUAGGAAAAUCCAUGGGGCCAUAAUCUGUGGAUGGCUUUAGCUAAGUCUUAUGCUGUAGUGAAAAAACAGAGCAAUUGUUGGGUUUAUGAAGAUAAGCUAGUUUCUACUGAGGAAAGAUUCCAGUGGCAUUCCUGGGGGCUCAGUCUUGGUACUAGCAGGGUACUGGUAGUAUGGAAUUUGAAAGUAAUCCAUAAAAUGAGAAAAAUCUUGGGUUUGACCAACCAGUCCCCACAGAGGUUCAGGUGAGUAGAAGUCAUCUUUUGAAAACACUUAAUAAAACAUCAUGCAGUUUUGGAUCCUGUUUCCUUAGACACUGCCACCAAAUACAUAAAGGAAAUUUCUCAGAGGCAGCAAACCAUUGGUUUGCAGGUAGGCUUGGCUUUUCCAAGGUGUUCUAACCUUUAUGCUCUUCUAAUGGUUCUCCAGAUUACUAUGACUUGUGUUAACAAGAUAAUGACAACAUUGGAUACCUCUUUAAAUCAGCAAACUGCAGUUCUUAAUCAUUAUCACCUCCUGAACAAAAACCAUGACCAACGGUACUCAAAUGCUUUUGAGCUGCCUGUAAGGGAGGAGACCACCCCUCAUAUUGUCUUAUGCCCAAUUUCUGCCUCCAAAUAAAGAAG
rnacentral:lncRNA from 1 species